rnacentral:rRNA from 1 species
UACGUAGGGUGCAAGCGUUGUCCGGAAUUAUUGGGCGUAAAGAGCUCGUAGGCGGUUUGUCGCGUCGAAUGUGAAAACCCGGGGCUCAACCCCGGGCCUGCAUUCGAUACGGGCAGACUAGAGUUCGGUAGGGGAGUCUGGAAUUCCCGGUGUAGCGGUGAAAUGCGCAGAUAUCGGGAGGAAUACCGAUGGCGAAGGCAGGUCUCUGGGCUAUAACUGACGCUCAUGCACGAAAGCGUGGGGAGCAAACAGG